AGCCUGCCCACUGAUUUGUUUUAAAGGGCCGCGGUAUAUUGACCGUGCGAAGGUAGCAUAAUCAUUAGUCUUUUAAUUGGAGGCUUGUAUGAAUGGUUGGACAAAAAGUAAGCUGUCUCGAUUAUAAUAAUUGAACUUAACUUUUAAGUGAAAAGGCUUAAAUGUUUCAGGGGGACGAUAAGACCCUAUAAAGCUUGACAAUAACUUCGUUAUAUUAUAAAUUGUUAGUAUAACUUGAUUUUAACGGGGGUUUGUUUCGUUGGGGCGACGGGAAUAUAAUAAAUAACUGUUCUUUUAAAUAUAAUUACAAAAAUGUUUGGUAAAUAAUUGAUCCUCUAUUAGAGAUUAAAAGAUUAAGUUACUUUAGGGAUAACAGCGUAAUCUUCUUUGAGAGUCCACAUCGACAAGAAGGUUUGCGACCUCGAUGUUGAAUUAAGGUAUCCUUAUAAUGCAGCAGUUAUAAAGG
rnacentral:rRNA from 1 species